rnacentral:rRNA from 1 species
CAGUAGCCACGGUAAUACGUAGGGGGCAAGCGUUAUCCGGAAUUACUGGGUGUAAAGGGAGCGUAGACGGUUAAACAAGUCUGAAGUGAAAUGCCGGGGCUCAACCCCGGAGCUGCUUUGGGAACUGUAGAACUGGAGUGUCGGAGGGGUAAGCGGAAUUCCCAGUGUAGCGGUGAAAUGCGUAGAUAUUGGGAGGAACACCGGCGGCGAAGGCGGCUUACUGGACGACAACUGACGUUGAGGCUCGAAGGCGUGGGUAGCAAACAGGAUUAGAGACCCCGGUAGUCCCUGUCUCUUAUAC